UCCUGGAUGGGUUGUAUUACUGCACUGGUCACCUCAUGAUGCCCAUCUCCACCACUCUGGAUUGGGGGAAUCUGAACUGGACUCCGACUCCCUUUCCACUGGCUGAGGGCAAGGGAUGCCAUCAGCCGUCGCUUCAGAAUGGCAUUGCACAUCUCUCAGGACCGAUUGACCUAUGUUCAAACUGCUGUUCACAUGGAAUCCUUCUCCACUUCAGCUUUCAACGUUCUCCUUUGAAUAUUUGCUACUAUCACCAAGAUCUGUACUUGUGGUGGCUCCACCUGGGGCUCCACUGGAGCUCCCUAGGCUUCAAGGCUCACCACAGCAGCCUUCCUACUUGUUGUAGCAUAGCGUCCUUGGGGUGGGGGGUGGGGGGAGGAGGCGGCCACCAUUGGAAGGGGAA